rnacentral:siRNA from 1 species
UGUGAUUUGGGAGCAUUUGUU